UGCCUGCCGUGGCGGUGGUGAUCUCAGGCCCUGGCGGUGGUGGUGGUGGUGGGGCCAGCCCGAUGUCCCUGCAGCACCACAAGUUGCCCUUGCUCUUCGAGUGUCCAGUCUACUUUGACUAUGUCCUGCCUCCCAUCCUGCAGUGCCAGGCCGGGCACCUGGUGUGUAACCAAUGCCGCCAGAAGCUGAGCUGCUGCCCGACAUGCAGGGGUGCCCUGACACCCAGCAUCAGGAACCUGGCUAUGGAGAAGUUGGCCUCAGCAGUCCUGUUUCCCUGCAAGUAUGCCACUGUGCUGUUCCCUGACCCUGCACCAUACAGAGAAGCCAGAACACGAAGACAUCUGUGAAUACCGUCCCUACUCCUGCCCUUGUCCCGGUGCUUCCUGCAAGUGGUAGGAGUCCCUGGAAGCCAUGAUGUCCCACCUCAUGCACACCAACAAGAGCAUUACCACCCUUCAGGGAGAAGACAUUGUCUUUCUAGCUACAGACAUUAACCUGCCAGAGGCCGUUGACUGGGUGAUGAUGCAGUCGUGCUUUGGUCAUUACUUCAUGCUGGUGCUGGAGAAACAAGAGAAGUACGAAGUCCACCAGCAGUUUUUCGCCAUCGUCCUGCUCAUUGGUACCUGCAAGCAAGCCGAGAACUUUGUCUACAGACUGGAAUUGAAUGGGAACUGGCGGAGGCUGACCUGGGAGGCCACGCCCCGGUUCAUCCACAACAGGGUGGCCGCAGCUAUCAUGAACAGCGACUGCCUUGUUUUUGACACAGCCAUAGCACACCUUUUUGCAGAUAACGGGAACCUUGGAAUCAAUGUGACUAUUUCUACAUGUUGUCCGUGAUGCACUACGUGGCUUUCGUAAACCAUCAGAAUUACUUCGUUGUAGUGCCCUAUGUUUCAUAAAGGUUUUUAUAGAUGUUUUA